GGGUCUUAGAAUCCCCGUGGAUGUCCGUGUAAAUAGCGACCGUCUUUGGCCGGACGGCGUGGUUUGUGAAUC
rnacentral:ncRNA from 1 species